rnacentral:misc_RNA from 1 species
GAUGAAGAACGUAUCGAAAUGCGAUAAUUAAUGUGAAUUGCAGAAUUUAGUGAAUCAUCGAAUCUUUGAACGCACAUUGCGCCCCUUGGUAUUCCGGGGGGCAUGCCUGUUCGAGCGUCAUUUCAACCCUCAAGCUCUGCUUGGUCUUGGGCCGCGCCGGCGACGGCGGGCCUCAAAAACAGUGGCGGCGCCAUCUGGUUCCUCAGCGUAGUAAUUCUUCUCGCUGUUGGGCCCGGGUGGCCGCUGGCCAGCAACCCCAAAUUUUCUAUGGUUGACCUCGGAUCAGGUAGGGAUACCCGCUGAACUUAAGCAUAUCAAUAAGCGGAGGA